AGUUAAUGAACUUGUAAAAGUGUAUAUUUUGAAAAUAUAAAAAAGAGAAACCUCUAUUAGCUU
rnacentral:tRNA from 1 species